UACGUAGGGGGCGAGCGUUGUCCGAAGUUACUGGGCGUAAAGCGCACGUAGGCGGCUUUGUAAGUUACAUCUAAAAGGUGAGAGCUCAACUCUCAGAUGUGGUGUAAGACUGCAGGGCUUGAGGCAAGCAAAAGAGUGUGGAACUCCGAGUGUAGCGGUGGAAUGCGUAGAGAUUCGGAAGAACACCCAAGGCGAAGGCAGCACUCUGGGCUUGAAAGUCUAUGAAACUUGAGGAGCAAUCUUCAAGGGCCAUAGACAACCUGACGCUGAGGAGCGAAAGCCAGGGGAGCAAACGGG
rnacentral:rRNA from 1 species